rnacentral:rRNA from 1 species
UCGAACGAAGCACUUUGGACAGAUUCUUCGGAUGAAGUCCUUAGUGACUGAGUGGCGGACGGGUGAGUAACGCGUGGGUAACCUGCCUCAUACAGGGGGAUAACAGUUAGAAAUGGCUGCUAAUACCGCAUAAGCGCACGGUACUGCAUGGUACAGUGUGAAAAACUCCGGUGGUAUGAGAUGGACCCGCGUUGGAUUAGCUAGUUGGCAGGGUAACGGCCUACCAAGGCGACGAUCCAUAGCCGGCCUGAGAGGGUGGACGGCCACAUUGGGACUGAGACACGGCCCAGACUCCUACGGGAGGCAGCAGUGGGGAAUAUUGCACAAUGGGGGAAACCCUGAUGCAGCGACGCCGCGUGAGCGAAGAAGUAUUUCGGUAUGUAAAGCUCUAUCAGCAGGGAAGAAAAUGACGGUACCUGACUAAGAAGCCCCGGCUAACUACGUGCCAGCAGCCGCGGUAAUACGUAGGGGGCAAGCGUUAUCCGGAUUUACUGGGUGUAAAGGGAGCGUAGACGGAAUGGCAAGUCUGAUGUGAAAGGCCGGGGCUCAACCCCGGGACUGCAUUGGAAACUGUCAAUCUAGAGUACCGGAGGGGUAAGUGGAAUUCCUAGUGUAGCGGUGAAAUGCGUAGAUAUUAGGAGGAAC